rnacentral:rRNA from 1 species
UACAGAGGGGGCAAGCGUUAUUCGGAAUUAUUGGGCGUAAAGGGUGCGCAGGCGGUCCUGCAAGUCAGGCGUGAAAUCCCCGGGCUUAACCUGGGAAUGGCACUUGAAACUACGGGACUGGAGUAUGGCAGAGGGAGGUGGAAUUCCACGUGUAGCGGUGAAAUGCGUAGAGAUGUGGAGGAACACCGAUGGCGAAGGCAGCCUCCUGGGCCAAUACUGACGCUCAUGCACGAAAGCGUGGGGAGCAAACAGG